GUCCAACUGAAUGAAAAGGGAAUCCGGUUAAAGUCCGGAGCUAUCCCCGUAGCUGUAAGCUCAAAAAUGUUUUUGUAUUCAACGCCACUAUUACCCUCCGAAGCCAUGGCGAAGGUGGGUGUCCGGGCUAUAAAAGGACAUAAUUCUCCUACAUUAAAGAUUAGGAGGAUAAAAUGGGAAGGCCGCAAAAACGAGAGCAAGCCAGAAGACCUGCCAGAUGACUUA
rnacentral:ncRNA from 1 species